rnacentral:rRNA from 1 species
UGGGGAAUAUUGGGCAAUGGGCGAAAGCCUGACCCAGCAACGCCGCGUGAAGUAUGAAGGCCUUCGGGUUGUAAACUUCUUUGAUCAGGGAAGAAACAAAUGACGGUACCUGAAAAACAAGCCACGGCUAACUACGUGCAAGCAGCCGCGGUAAUACGUAGGUGGCGAGCGUUAUCCGGUUUUACUGGGUGUAAAGGGCGUGCAGGCGGGCUGAUAAGUCAGAUGUGAAAUCCCCGAGCUUAACUCGGGAACUGCAUCUGAUACUGUUGGUCUUGAGUGCUGGAGAGGAUAGUGGAAUUCCUAGUGUAGCGGUAAAAUGCGCAGAUAUUCGGAGGAACACCAGUGGCGAAGGCGGCUAUCUGGACAGUAACUGACGCUGAGGCGCGAAAGCGUGGGUAGCAAACAGG